UCCUCCUUCCGUUCCAGUAGAUCCGCUUGAGCUAGGCUGUUGGACUAGGAUCAUGGGUGCGUGCAUCUCAAGCCCGAACUGCUGGGCAUCCACCGUAGUAGAAUCGCGCCUUCACUUGGAAAUAUGAUUAAAUGGUAGGGGGUCGACCGAAUCAUGAGUAGAUCUAUUUUCUUCAACAAGUAAAUCAUGCGUGCCAAGUACUUUUUUUCAUUGCCGGCUCGUGUGUGCAUCUUAGUUCUUCAGUGCAGAUUGCUGGCCAUCCAUGGUAGAUUUAUAGUGUGCUAAUCUGAUGGUGCAAGCUGCUCGAGGAAACCAAAAGUUCUCUAUGCCUUGCUCUACUACUUUUAGGUUGCUCUGGGUUUCUUCUAUGAAGAGAUGUGCACCAGUGAUAAUAGUGUGAGAUUGUUAUUUUCCCGUUACUUCUUUUGUGAUGGUUGGUGUGUGUGCGAUCUUAAGUGCAGACCGCUUGUCAUUCACUGUUAUUUUUUAUGUGUACAUUUAGAGUGUCUGAGUUUCUUUUAGGUAAUGCUCAUUUCUUUCCUAGAUGAGAUAACUAGCUCAUGAUUCAGUACUGUAUUUCUCUUCAUGAAGAUAUAUUGUACUCCUGCAGGUUUGCUUGCCUGCUGACCUUACAAAUAUUUUCUUUUCAGUAGGUGCCUUGGUAUAGAAUGAAGUGAAGAGAGCAGAGUAUCUUGGUCGUACUAAUCAAUUCAUCAUAUUAUGUGCGCAAUAAGAUUUUGCUAUGCUUUCACCGUUGAUGCCCACUGGUUGGAUCAUGCUUCUGUUUAUGAGCUCAUUGAAGUAACUCUCUCGUAGCUCAAAUGGGCCAAUUUCUCGUUUGUGUGGCACACAAAACCUUCAGCUAUCCAUCUCCAUAUCAGUUGGUCUCUCUUAAUUUUGUUAUCUUCUGGAAAUAUGCUUACGUAUAAUAAAUGAUGCGAAGGUAGAUCAUAGAAACAUGAACACAAUUCUUAAUCUAAAGCAAGAUGGUGUAGGCUACUUUUUGUGAUUCAACACAAAUAGCAGGCAUACAUGCACCAAUACUAAGAAAAUUAGCAAAGAAAAUGAGUAAAAGAGGCACUUGACUUGUAGAUUAUAAAAGAGUGAUGAUCUAGAAGUCAACCCUCUUUUACCAGUAGUUUUGAUCUACCUUCUCAUCCAUAGGAUUAGUUAUUAUGUCUAAGCAUGUUUUUAGAAGAUUAGAAUAUUAAGCAAGCUCAUUCGAUAUGUAAGGUGGAUAGUUUGAGGUUUUGUUUAUCAUGAAAAACAAGGGAUUAGCAAGUUUGAGCUCGGUGGUAGAAUUGCUUAGUGAGAUCGUGAAUAGGAGCAUGAUUCAACCAAUUGACAUCAAUGUUGAUAAAGGCAUGGAAAAAUCUUAUUGUAUACAUGAUAUGGUGAUUGAUUUCAUAUGCUGAAGAACCCUUGCAUGGCACUGAGUGAAAGCCUUCUAUCCAAAGGCGGCAAGAUGUGAAGAUUAUCCAUCCGAAAGAGCAUGACAGGUAGCAGCUAUGUCACAAUGAGGUCUGUUGCAAUUGUUGAUUGGGUGUAGCUUGUUGAGUGCUCCAAGUUCUACAUGCCCUGGAUUUAGAAUAUUGUGCUGCAUGUCUCCAUUCUUGGCAGUCACAAUGAUUCAAGAAUACUGUGUUUGCAAUGACAUGAAGCUCCUAUUGUAUUUCUACCAACUAGUGCUGAAUUAGUCACGAGUCUCUUGGUGUAUUUGUACCCACUGAUGCUGAAUUAUAGUUCGAGUCAAGAACUGUCAAAGUUCUGUGUCGGCUCCUGCCGUUAGCUCAUGAGGAACUUGUUUACCCUAUUCCUUUAUUUUGAUGCUGGCUUGUUAUACAUUGUGUCUCUUUUCUUUAUAGCAGUAGCAGCUUUUGAAGUCUUCUUGCUCUGCUCUUUGUAUGAAAUGUAAGGUAAUUGUUCUGAAAUGAUAUGUAUAUGUUACUUUUGUAGGUAAAAUUACAUGUACAGUACCAACGUCUUCAACUGUUAUUUUCUUUCUGACUGCCAUCAGUGGCAGGAUCACAAGUGAGGCCGUGCAAUGUCCGUGCUUAUCUACUUGUUAAGCCGUUUGAGGAUAUUGGUCCUGCAUGCUUUCCAUUUUUGCUAAGUAGUUUUUGCUAAUCGAGGCGGCAUGAGAGGCUGAGGCUCUAGAGCACUGCAUUUGCCUUGUUUUGAUUUGUAUUUCUUCUGUAGUAGGGGCAUUAAGUUCUAAUUGAGAUUGUAUUGCAGUCAGUUCAGUUUAUAGUACAAUUUUUCAAACAGUUCAGUUUAUAAUAAGACAUGAAGUUGUAAUUGAGAUACGAUUUAAUUUAGCCGCAACAAUUUUUUGAUCCCUAGAAAUUCUAGUGUUACUCGAUCCAAAGCCAAUUCCACAAGCUGUAGUGUACAUGAUCCUUUCAAUUUUUUGAGACUUUGGAUAGUUAUAGCGGCCCAUGGUGCAAGAUGUACCUUUCUUUGGCACAAACAACAACAACGCGGUCAGCUCAUAUGCUCUUGGAUGAACAGUAAAUUUGAAAAUUGUUUAAAAAUAAAAAAAAAUCUGAAUUCUUUUAGGCAAACUUUAAGAAAUGUUUGGAGUGCUUGCACUCGUGGCCAAAAAGAAAAAUCAAAUCAAUGCUCUGAAAUGGUACUUUUGAACACAUAAAUUUAUUUUGUUUGCCAUGAUUUUCACCAAUGUGAUUUUAUUAUAAUGAAACUCUGCAAGCACUACAAACAUUACCUAAAGUUUGUAAAAAAUGGUUCACAUUUUUUUGGACCCUAUUGUUCACACCAGAAGCAUUUGAUCUCGAGCUGAGAAAAGUACUGAUGCGGUCAAUGUUGGUUUCCUUCUACAUUCCUGGCUACCCCAGCUUCUACUAGGAAACAAAGAUUUUUCUAGUGUUUUUUUAAAAAGAUUUACUGUUCACUGAGAGCAGCCGAGCCCGGGUUAGAAAUGAAUAUUCGCACGCUACCAGCCACUUCACCCAGAACACCACCAGACUCGCGUUUAGUUAAAGCCGCACAAGCUAAGACAGGGAGAUCGCAGUGUGAUCUUCGCUUCGACAGGUUACUGAUGGUGCCAGAAAAUACUACUCCCCCAGUUUGAUUUAUAAGAUGUUCUAAUAUAUUUAAAAAUCAGAACUAUAUACACGUGUUUCAGUGUGUUUGUUUAUUUAUUUCAGUCCGUAUGUAGUCUAUAUUGAAAUGUCGAGAACGUUUUGUUAUUUGGAACAGAGGUGAUGCAUCACAUUAACUGUUUGAAACAUUUAUGUUGCAUGCUUCAACAUUGCACAUAACGUGGUGAAUAUUACAUGUGACUGUGUGUGCUUCUGUAUUUAGAGUAACCGAGCCGUUCAUAUCAACGCAUGUCUCCUCACGUGGCAUUGCAAGUAGCAGGAGCUAAUCGAAUUCGUCGACAUGGACUCCAAGGUGCGAGCCUCCAGCGCUCCCCUGCUUCUAGUCCGACCAAGAUAUAGGUUCAAGGACGCUGCAUUUGCCUUGCCUUCUGUAACAACAUGAAGCUUAGGGUCUGUUCGGAGACUCUCCACUACCCAAGUCCGCUCUGGGAGUUGGUGGAGCUAUAGUUGAAAAUGACGGAGCGGGGAAAAAGGAGCUCCAUAGAUUUUGAGAUUUCAAGAAGCUGGAAGACUGCUGAACACCUCCUUACAUGAUAUUCACUUAUGCCUGAAUUCAGUUAUCACUUCCGUCGAUUCAAGAACUGUCAAGUUUCUGCCGUGCCUCCUGCAUUACAAUGUACUGCUGGUAGGUUAAUUUGCCUGCUUGGAUUAUCUGUUUCGUUUCUUUCUUCAUAGCAGCUUUCAGAAUUCAGACUCGUUUAGUGCAGACUUGUGGAAUAAGAAUUUGUUCAGUUAAUAAGAUCUUGUGAAGUUUUGCCUUCAAUUCUAGCCGUUGCGUUUUUGUUUCUUCAUCACCUUUUCAUGGUACAAAGUUUACCAAACAAAGAGGAAAAGUAGUGGGUGUUAGUGACCCUGUUGAUGCAUCGAUAUCUGAAGUUAAGAAAGAUUUGAUGAGCAAACCAUAUCAGGCAACUUGUUACUUUUCUGUAGCGUAGCAACACGUCAGUUUACACCACAUGUCAUGACGGUACAUAAGCAUGAUUUUAGGUUGAUAGGGCACACAGUAGCAAACAAAAGGAAAUACAAAGGCAACAAAAUAAAUAAUUCUCCUUUUGAAAAAAUGUAAAUAAAUAAAUUUAUAUAAUCAACUAUUCACUGGUUCUUUCUUCUACGCGUUCUUGCCUCUAGUUGGGUCGCACUUUUCACGCACCAUCUUUUUUAAUUAGCUAGAAUUCAAAAUUUAUAUAAUCAACUAUUUUUUUUCUAUUUUAUUUAUUGAUGUGAAACUUGAAUCUAGAUUAGAAACUGUGUGGUGUAAUAGAAGCAUAUCGUGUUGAUGUUGUCAAAUUUCUGCCCUUUUUUGUGAACACCACAAACCGUGUUGAUGAUACUUCAUCCCACCAACUGAUGGCUGAUGAGCAGAAUGACAAAAUUGUUUUAAUUCUAUCAUGAGGACUUCUUCAGUUUAUGAUGGCAUCUGUUUGUCCACAAGCGCAUUAGAUGCUCCGAUGCAGCAAAUAUAUUUUGUAUCCAUCCUUAGGCUUCAUUCAGUUUGAAGGAUUUUUACAAGAAAAGCAUAGGAACAAAGAUCCAGAGAAGAAUUUCCUAUAGAUGCAUUCGGUUUGUAGGAAACGCGUACGGGAAUUUUGUAGGAAUACUAUUUAUUUUCUAUUUUUUAGAGAAAUUUACACAUCCACUCAAAGCUUAUUUUGUGUGUACGAGCGAGACAAGACAAUUUCUCUACUACUCCUAAAUCCUACGUUUUUGUUUCCUCUAUACCGAAUGAGGCCUUAUACUUUCGAUCAAACAGUGCAAGGAAAUAGUCUUAGGACCUCUUUGAUUCAUAGGAUUUCUAAAAUGCAGGAAUAGGAAAAAUACUGGAACGCAGUAGCAUGGCAUCUCCAAUCUUAUAGGACUAAUGGGCGUUUGAUUGCACAUAGGAUAGAUGUUCUUGACACGGAGCUGGAGUAGAUGGAAAUUCUACUAUGAAAACUAGUACAAACAAAUCCUAAGGAAGAAAAUCUUACGAAUUGUAAUCCUAGGAAUCAAACCACGAAUGUAGGAAAAAGCCUUAAGGAUUACAAUCCUACAAAUUGUCUUUAAAAAUCAUUUGAGUGAAAGAGGCCCUUCGAAGUUAGCUGCGGGAAUAUAGCUGCGGAGUCUAGAUCAACCACCGUUCUUAAAAUUAGCAAUAUGUGGUCAUUUGCUCCACUACGGACGCAAGGAGGUGCGUGGUUCCAAAGUUGAUUAAAUCCAACGACCAAGGCAGCUGUGGGUUUCUAGACAACGCAAAACUUAGCUAUUUAACUACACUAAUGCACCUGUUUAGAGAGUUGGGGCAUGGAGCCAUCGAUGGCAUCAUCUCAAGUGUCCUGACGCCCAUUGUCUAUUGGCAAGCACCAAAGGACAGGGCCAAAGGGGCAUACGCUUAUCCUAGCGCAUACUUAGACAUAGUCACAUACACAUCCACUGAUCCACAUCCACAUGGCUAUUAAUUAGUGUGUUCCACAUGGGUGACAACGCGUCGCAAAGUCAGCGCAUGGAGAUUGAUUGGCUCAAAUUUGACAAUACAAAUAGGAAAGACAUAUGAGUUACUGUGGAAAUUACUUUUGGAGGCCGAGCUCCAUGGAGGCCUCCAAAUGCAAAAUUCAAAAUUCAUGAAAAUUCAUACAUUUCAAAAAAAUUCUGGAAAAAAAUACAGAUAUAGAUGAAGGCAUAAUGCACAAGUGUGUAUAUUUUCAGGAUGAAAUACAUUGGAAUGAGGGCUUUGCAGAAAAUAAAAAACAUUUGGGGCUUUUUAACACAUGAUACUAGUCAUCCCCAGACCAUGAAUUUGUCUUUUUGUACAAGUAGUAUUUCAACGUAUUUCAUUCUGAAAUUUUACACACAUACACCUCACAUCCUUGUUUACUUGUACAGUUUUUUCCAGAUUUUUUUUGAAACCAAAAGUUUUUAUUUUUCAAAAAUUCGGCCUUCAUGUAGGCCGAGAUCCAAAACGCUUCUCUCGAGUUAUUGACCCUUAAAUGAUGCAACAAUUCAUGGAGUUAAACAGGUUCAAAUCUGUCCUUUGUGUUUUUUCUUUUCUUUCGGUGCGCCGGGCGGUGGUUCCCUAGUUGAUUAAUCCAAUUAUCCAAGUAACUGUCAUGCUUGUCUGGAGUCAAUGCAAACUGAGUUGUCCUGGUGCUUAAACAUGGCCACAUGGAUGUUAAUUAGUGAUGCACACAUGAUCUUAGGGAACAUCAGGAAUCUCUCUAGUUUUUCUAAGUCACAUGAAAACUACGCGUACGCUAAGUCAGUGCCUUGUGAUUGGUGGUGCGGUGUAUAAUUACGAGGCUAUUUAUUUCUUGCAUCUCAAGAUCUAAUCUAAGCCUUGUCAGAGUAACACCGUCUACUAUUACUACCACAACCGCUGAUACAUGGGACCCCGCUAUCCACAGCCCCGCAUGGCAGCCAGACUAUGAACAUGACCGUCUAACUAAUCCAGAUACAUCGUUAAAUUAGUAAGAAUUCUGUACAACACUGGUUUCUAUACCUUAGCCAGUUUCUCCCUUAUGACACGAUCAUUGCCUAGUGUGCCUUUGGAGUAACCACAUAGCGCUUCCAGCCCUCUGAGACCCAAACCACUCCCAGAGAGGCCGAGACAUGGAGAUUGCCAUGGGGGCUAUUGGCCCUCUCCUCCCGAAGCUCAGUGAGCUGCUCAUGGGAGAGCUCACCAUGGAGAAACAAGUGAGGAAAGGCAUCGAGUCUCUCAUGGUAGAGCUCACAUUGAUGCAUGCUGCCCUGAGUAAGGUGGCAGAAGUUCCCGUGGACCAGCUUCACAAGGGGGUCAAGAUUUGGGCAGGAAAUGUCAAGGAGUUGUCAUACCAAAUGGAGGAAAUUGUUGAUGUUUUCAUGGUGCGCGUGGGGGAUGGUGGCAAACCUGCCAACCCAAAGAACAAAGUCAAGAAGAUACUCAAGAAGGUUAAAAGAUUAUUCAAGAAUGGCAAGGACCUCCAUCAGAUCUCUGAUGCUCUAAAAGAAGCGGUUCAUCAAGCUAAGCUGUUGGCCGAGCUGCGCCAAAGGUAUGAGCAAGGGAUGCGAGAUCCUAGCACUAGUGCUAGUGUUGACCCUCGCAUGAUGGCCCUAUACACAGAUGUGUCUGAACUCGUCGGCAUUGAUGAAACACGAGAUGAGUUGAUAAACAUGUUGAUUGAAGGUGAUGAUUGGUUGAAGCAUCCAUUGAAGACAGUCUCUAUUGUUGGAUUUGGUGGGUUGGGCAAGACAACUCUUGCCAAAUCAGCGUAUGAGAAGAUCAAAGGGCAAUUCGAUUAUGAUGCUUUUAUUUCGGUUUCUCAGAAUCCCAGCAAGAAGAAAGUCUUCAAGAAUAUUCUCUAUGAACUUGACAAGAGCAAGUAUGCACGCAAUCAUAGUGAGGAAUGGGAAGAAAAUCAUCUGGUCGAUGAAAUAAUUGAAUUCCUUAAUGGCAAGAGGUACAUGUGUUUCUUUCCUUUUGCAAACGGAUUAAUUAUCAUUUUGUCUACUUAAAUAAUGAUAGUAUUUUAGAGUAGUGCAUAUGCAUCUUGAUACCAUAUUGUUGACUUACAAUUUUAUGCUUUUGGCGUAAAUGAUGUAGUUAGUACAUAACCCAUCUUUCAACAAUUAGGGAGUGCAUACAUUAAGGCGACCAAGAAAUUCUUAUGCCUAAGUGGAUGAUCUCAACUGUUAAUGCAACAAUUGCACAUUUCUAGAACUAUAGUUGCACAUAAGUUAUGGUAUGUUUGUGGAAAUCUAGGUCUCAGAAUAUGCAAUUUGGUCGAGUUAUAAAUACUUUUUUGUUAGUUUCCUCUGAAAUAACAUACCCAUACUAAUAUAAUAUAUAUCUUACUGUAUAUAUCUUCAUUGUACUGAUUUACUAACUAAUGCAAAAUGUAAACAAAGGUACCUCAUCAUAAUUGAUGACAUAUGGGAUACAGAAGUGUGAAAAUUAAUCAAGUGCGCUUUCUCCAAGAAGAGUCCUGGAAGCCGACUAAUUACGACAACCCGCAUCAUCAGUGUCUCUAAAGCAUGCUGCUCUUCCAAGGAUGAUAUCUACAGAAUGAAACCUCUUUCAGACGUUGUGUCAAGAAUGCUCUUCUAUAAAAGAGUAUUUAAUGAGAAAGGGUGUCCUCAAGAGUUGGUGCAAGUAUCCAAAGACAUUUUGAAAAAAUGUGGUGGCAUACCAUUAGCUAUUAUUUCUAUAGCAAGUCUUCUGGCUAAUAAUCAUGAGAUGAAAACAAAGGACCAAUGGUAUGCUUUGCUCAAUUCCAUUGGUCGCGGACUUACAGAAGAUUGCGGUUUGGAGCAGAUGAAAAAGAUAUUAUUAUUCAGUUAUUAUGAUCUACCUUCGUAUCUAAAACCUUGUUUGUUAUAUCUUAGCAUCUUCCCAGAAGAUCACAAGAUUAUGAAAGGAAAGCUAAUAUGGAGAUGGAUAUCAGAAGGUCUUGUUUAUAGUGAAAAACAAGAAACUGACUUAUAUGGGCUUGGUAACAACUACUUCAAUGAACUUGUAAAUAGAAGUAUGAUCCAGCCAAUUUGCAUUGAUGAUAGAGAAGAUAAACAAGCGUGUCGUGUACAUGACAUGGUGCUUGAUCUCAUAUGCUCACUGUCAAGUGAAGAAAACUUCGUCACAAUUUUGGAUGGCACCGGAAGAAAAAUGCCUAAUUUGGUUCGCAGAUUGUCCAUCCAAAAUAGCAAGAUGGAUGUUGAUAUUUCUAGGAUGGCACACAUGAGAUCUAUUACCAUUUUCACCAAUAAGGUUGUCGGGAAACUGUUGGAUAUUUCAAGUUUUCAAGUUCUUCGUGUGUUGGAUUUCGAAGGUUGUGAUAUCUCGGAUAUUGGGUAUGUGGGAGAUCUUUUACAUCUGAGGUACUUAGGACUAAGAUAUACUCAUGUUGAGGACCUUCCCACUGAAAUUGGGAAGCUACAAUUUUUGCUUACCUUGGAUUUAAGAGGUACUAAGAUAAAAGUUCUGCCAUCAAGUGUUGUUCAUCUAAGACGUCUGAUGUGCCUGCAUGUUGACUAUCAUAUGAAGCUGCCGUCUGGGAUAAGUAAUCUGGUUUCCCUAGAAGUGCUAGGUACAAUGAUGAUGUUUGACAAGGACCUCAAUGCUGUGAAAGAAUUGGGCCAUCUGACCAAGCUCAGGGUGCUCCAAGUUUACUACCAUGUUGAUGAGAUCCUGGAUAAAGCUUUGAUGAGAUCUCUUAGUAAUCUGUACAAACUGGACAGUCUAGAUAUUUAUGUCCGUGGUGGAGAAAUCAAUUUCCUGAGCGAAGAUUGGGUGCCUCCUCUGCAACUCCGUAGAUUGGCUUUCUCGUUACCGUCGAGUUGGUUCAAGACACUGCCAUCAUGGAUCAAUGCUUCAUCGCUUUCUCUCCUCACCUAUCUUCAUAUAAAGGUGGUUAAAGUGUCAUCGGAGGCCAUCCAACUUAUUGGGAUGCUUCCUGCUCUUUGUGUUCUCGAGAUAAUGGAUAUUUCUAAGUUCUAUGAAGAGCGUGUGGUGGAAAUGUCCGCCCUUUCCUCUGUUGCGUUAUUCCCGUGUGCGACGGAGUGUCACUUCCUUUGUAUUGGUGCAGUGCCAUCUAUGUUUCCACGAGGAGCUGCACCGAGGCUUAAGCACCUUGGCUUCACCUUCUCAGCUAAGUGGAUCACCCGUGAAAACAUCGAUUUGUGCAUGUGCCACCUCCCUUCCUUGGAGCGAGUUGAGGUUAAAGUUAUUAAGGAGGAAGCUAGUGAUCGCGAGGUGUAUGAAGCAAAGGUAGUGCUGAGGGCCGCAGCAGAGGACCACCCCAACCAUCCCGUCCUUGACUUACAUUGACGCAUGUAUAGGAAUAGGUACGCACACUAGGUGUUCAUUCUUAUGUGUCAUUGCUCUUUCUUUGUUUCUUUCUCAGUUUCUAGAGAAAUACACCUCCACGAGCUAACCUCUGGUGUACGUGUAUUCUUUUGUUUUCUCACCAAGUGUUUAAUUCCUCUCCACUUCUUUGUACAGUUUUAGGCGGCGAGAGUGCUAGGUCGAUUCACCAACUCUUUCACUCAGCAGGUAUUAUGCUAACAGCAUUGAGCUAUACUUAAUUUCAAUAUUUUGUUUAGCUAGCUAGGUCGAUUGAUCUGGACCCUAAAGCCUAAAUAUUGUAAUAUGAACUACUUCUACUUAUGCAGCAAAGUUACAAGAUUACAUAUGUGAAGUAAUUCAGAUUAGUGAGCAAUCCACUAAGUAAUAUGUGUUUCUAUUGGAUGAAACCUGUGCUUUUAUUUUCUGUUCGGAACAUUUGACUGAACCAUUUGUAUGCAUGUGCUUGCACGAUCCACAUCUGCAUGUAUUUGCUAGCAGUAUAUGCUACGCGCCCAUCUGAAGUUCCAGCAAAUCUGCAAUGUGGAUUUCGCCUUGGUUACUUAUGGUGCAUAAAUACAUAGCAUCAGUUGUUACUUCUGCUUGCCACAAGAUCACAUAUAAAGUGCUCCACGUUACAUUAGCAAGCAAUCCACUAGUAGUACUAGUACAAAUACGUGCCCUGUAUAUGUGCCCUUUUCGUAGUUGGAUGGACUAUGUUUUCUUCUUCUGUAACAUUUAGCUGGGCCAUUGACAUGUAUGUCCUUCAACAUGGCAUUGCAGGCAGCAUGAGCUAACAAAUGUCGUCGACAUGUACUUGAUCGCGCAUGCCUCCGCUUCUUCUCCAGCCAUACUGUCAAGCACACUGCGUUUGCCAUGCCGUUUGAUCCGUCUUCGUUCUGCAACAAGAUGAGGCAAAUCAACCGACUCUUCUAACUUUAUACAGGGGACCAAAUCAUAUAUGUGAUGUUUUUUUUUGUUAUCUUGCAACAAAAUUGUAUCAAGUGAAGCAUACAAAGACGAUGAUCUCAUAGAUCGAUUGUCAUUAGCAGUGUCUUGUUAUGUUGCCCCUCGGUUAAUGCAUGAUUAAUCUUUUUUCUUGAACGGUGCGUGAGAGCCAGUCGGUUUCGGCCGCAGUUUCAACAGAAAUCUAAGUGAAGCUGUAAGGCUGAAGCCACGCCAAAUUCAGUCGGACAGAUUAUUUAGCGAUGCCUCAGUUUGUGCAGCGUUUGUUAUACAUGGGCACAUUCAGGUCCUUGCGUUGUUGUGAGGUAUUCCGAUUUGUCACCACACGUUCCAGAAACGUUGGUCAGGCCUUCUGCUGUCUGCUCUUUUGUAGCAACUUCUGCGUGAGUGGGGAGAUUUCAGAUGGAGUUGCAAUCAGAAAGAUGCAGUGCCCAAGCUUACUAGUAGUAGUAAGAAAAUGAUCCUCCGGUGAAAGUGAAAUCACGCACAAUUAGAGCAUCUCCAGCCGUUCGGCCCCAGGGCGCCGAAAAAGAGCGCCCUGGGGACGAGCCGGCGCUAGAUCGCCCCCUGGGGCUCGGUUUGCUCCCAGUCACGCGCCCACGGUCGCCGUGGGUUCGGCAAAAAGUUCGUUUCAAUUUUUUUGCAAACUCGGCGAAGUUCGGCCGAUUUUUGACGAAAUUUGUACAAAAACUUAAAAACAUGCAUGAACUAACUUAAAAACGAACUAAAAGCCUAAUAAGCCGCUGCCGCCAUCGUCUACAUGCCGAGAAGCCUGUAAAAGCGGGUGUAGUUGCCGCCGCCGCUGUCGUCGUCGUCAUUGCCGCGCGCCUCACCUGUGUGCCUGCUGCAUCCCUCGCCGGGGUCGCCGACAGCGGUUGACGGCCCGGACUCGCCCUCGUCGUCGCUGUCGAUGAUGAUAACGCCGCCCUCCUCGGCUACAUGGCGACGCUCCUCGGCGCGGCUACGGGCCUGGGUCUCCAGUUACGCCCGACGCUGGCGGCGCACCUGCUCGCGGACGUAGUCCUCCCUCACCCAUUUGAGGGCGGACUCGUCGUCGGGGGCCACCAUGCCGGUGUGCUCCGGCUUCACGGGGAGCAUGUCUGGCUCGGGCUUCGACCGGACCAGGCAGACGGAGCGCCUCGUCGGUGCAGUCGCAGGCGAGGGCUCGUUGAUGACGAGGGCGUCGCUGCGAGCACGACGCCCGAGCGGUGUCUCCUCCAGCUCGGGCUUGACGGGGCGGAGGGCCGGNNNNNNNNNNNNNNNNNNNNNNNNNNNNNNNNNNNNNNNNNNNNNNNNNNNNNNNNNNNNNNNNNNNNNNNNNNNNNNNNNNNNNNNNNNNNNNNNNNNNNNNNNNNNNNNNNNNNNNNNNNNNNNNNNNNNNNNNNNNNNNNNNNNNNNNNNNNNNNNNNNNNNNNNNNNNNNNNNNNNNNNNNNNNNGGCGUGUAGAAGAUUUACUUCGUGUAGUAUAGCAAUUCUGCACUGUAGCGGUACUGUAGCGCACUGUAGCAGCCUGGGGCCCGGGGCAUGGCCCAGUCCUAGCUCCGCCCCUGCCGGAGCCCGACGACGAGGACGACCCCGGCUCCAUCCGCCGCGGCAUCCAGGAACUGCCACGCCGAUGAGAGAAGGAGGUCCGCGUCGGGUACUCCAGCCGCGACACAUUGUCGGUCUCGAUGUGGUCGAGGACGGCGUCGAGUGUGCGGCCGGGGACGCCCCACCACUCGUGCCGUCCUUCGGAGUUGUGGCAGCCGCGGGGACAAUGUCGUUGACGGAGGCGAUCUGCUCCUCGCGACGGUGCUGGAAGUACAUCGUCCACAGCGUUUCGCUGUCGGGCGCGUACCUCGGCUCGUUCCGCUGCUCCUCCGUCAACGAGGAGCGGAUGCGGGUGAUCUCCGCCCGCCGUGCCGCCCCUUCGGGCACCGGCGGCACCGGGACGCCGCCGACGCUCAGUCUCCACGAGCCAGGCACGCGCAUAUCGGGGGGCGCCGGGUACUCGGCCUCGUACAGAAGGCGUGCCUCCGGCUCCUGGAGGUGUCGGCGGCCGAAGCCGUUCGCCGCUGCGCCGUCGCCUGGGUAUCUCUCCGCCAUGGUUUCGCUCGUCGGCGGGCAUGGGAGUGGUGGGAGAGCUCGCCGGCGGGGAAAAGGCUUUCACUGGAGGUAGAGGGGAGGCUACAGCGCUCACCGGCGGGGAGGGGCGCCUUUUUAUAGCCGAAGCGGGGUGGCCGGGGGGCGGCAUGCGGGCGAACGCGUGGCGCAUGCGGGCGGGACGCGCGUCUUCACUGCGCCGCCCGUGAGGCAUCAAUGGAGGCGACCGGCGCGGCAGCCUUCGCAUUGAUUCCCACGGGAACCGAGGCGAUGAGGUCGACGAAGCGCCUGUCUCGCUGACUUGGCGGGCCCGCGGCUGUUUCGCGCAAAAACACUCGCCCCGGCGCCCCCCGGCGCGUCGGGUUCGACCUGGGUCCGCCGGCGCUGAUUUCGGCCCAAGCCGGUGAAAAAUGGCUCCCGGGGACGUGACUAGGCCGUUUUUUCGGCGCCGGCGCAAAAAAAUCAUUCGGGGAGACCUUUCUAGGGGCGCGGCUGGAGAUGCUCUUUGACCAGGAGAUCUAUCAGACCUCAACUUAGCUUUUUCAAUGUUUGUCUAAGCUGGAUGACACAUGGGACCAUACCGCGCGGAGGACCCACAUGGUAGCAGCUCUGUGCCGGCAUGUGAUUGGUCGGAUCCGUUAACCCCUCUCCCCCCGUCGGUUAUUUCUACAGCGUUUGGAGGGACCGGUUUAGAGAGAGGGAGAGUCCGUCAGUCAGAGGCAGAGGUCGAGCCGUGGAGUAGAUCUCGCCGGCUGGGCUCGUCCCGGGGCUGGUGCGUCCUGCCUGCCGCCGGCGACCUCCUCGUCGGUGAGUACGUGCAGCAGCCCGGAGAGGUGCCAAAGGCUGGAUCUCGCAGAACAAGGACAUGAGGUAUAUUUCGUUUCUUCCUGAUCUGGAUCCGAUGAACUUAAACUCAUGGUGGUGUGCAUCUUCAGUUCAAAUUUCUGGUCUUCUUCCGUUCUAGGUUGUUUAAUCUAGUUUCCUCAAGUACCGGCCGGCCGGCCGGUGUGCGCAUCUUAAUCCUUCGGUGCAAAUCCUUGAUUAUCCAUGUUAGAUUUACUCCUAGGGUCUGCUUUAGUGAGGCCAUUUGUUGCCAGAUAAUUAGCACAUACUUCACUACUGACCUCUCUUUGUGAAGAAACAUAUAUCAGAUUAACAUCUUAAGUGCAAAUCAUUUGUGAUUCACUCUAGAUUCUGCUUAUUUUUUGCCUUGAUAAAUAGCUCAUUAUUCAUUGUUAUCUUCUCUUUAUGAAUAAAUAGUAUACUCAUGUUGACUUGCCUGCCAACUAAUUGUUUCAAAAUCUUCACAUGCACAGGUACUUGGGCAUGGAAUGGGAAUCACAAUUGUUGUGGUGGAAAUGAAGAAUAUCCUGUUAUUUGGCUGCUACCAUCGAUGUUCUUUUAGAUUGAACAUUGCCAUGAGCGUUUCUCUACGCAAUGAAUAUAUUAGAUCAAGCAUCAUGUCAUGGACACCAUAAGACUUUUCUGCGUUGAUAGUGAUGUCUACGGGUUGGAUCGUACUUCUGUUUAUCAGCUCACUGAAGUAACUCUCCUAGCUCAAAUGGGUUAAUUUCGUGUUUACAUGAUACACAAAUCUUCAGCUAUCCAUCUUCAUAUGAAUUGGUCUCGCUUAAUUUUGUAAUCUUCUGGAUAUAUGCUUACAUAUAAUAAAUGAUGUGAAGAUAGAUCAUAGAACAAAACCAUAAUCUUUAGUCUUAAGCAAGUUAGGGUAAACUAGAGAUAGAACACAACAGAAGCCACACACACGAAUGACAUGGAAAGCAGCAAAGAAAUAGUAAAAGAAGCUCUUGACUUGUAGAUUAUGUCAAAGUGAUAAUCUAGAGUCAAGCUUCUUUUACUAUUAGUUUCGAUCUACCUUGUCAUCUAUAGGAUUAGUUAUUAUAUCUAAGUAUGUUUUCAGAAGAUUAGAAGAUUAAGCAAGGUCACUUGAUAGGUAAAUUGAUAGCCGAAUGUUUUGUUUAUCAUGGAAAACCAGAGAUUAGCCUAUUUGAGCUCAGUGAUAGAGUUACUCAAUGAGAUCAUAAAUAGAAGCAUGAUUCAACCAAUAGACAUCAAUUUGAUGAAGGCAUGAAAAAUCUUAUUGUGUUAUGAUAUGAUGAUUGAUCCAAUAUGUUUUUGCCAAGUGAAGAAAAACACUAACAUGGCACUGAGUGAAAGCGAUCUAUACAAAGGCAAGAUUUGAAUAUUAUCCACCCGAAAGAGAAUGUCAGAUAUGACCACCAUCAGAAGAAGCAACAAUGCCACAAGUGAGCUCUCUUGUAUAUCCAUGUGCUAUUGUCGAUUCAGCGUCGCAUAUGUUGAGCGUUUAUGUUCUACAUGUGUUAGAUUUAGAAUAUUGUGGUGAGCACUUCCAUUCUUGCCAAUUGAGAUGGUGAGGCUCAGGAACACUUCAUUUGCCAUGGUGUUUUGAUUCGUCUUCUGCAGCAACAUGAAACUCUCAUUGUAAUUGUACCCACUUAUGCCUGAAUACUGCUAUUACUUCAGUUAGAUUCAAGAAGCACCAAGUUUCUGCAGCGCUCCUGCAUUUUGCUAAUGAUGAACUUCCUUCUCCAUUUCUUUCUUUUGUAAGGAAGAGUUAUGUACUUAUGAUGUAUGACUGGCUGGUUAAUUUUCUGUCAAUUCAACAACCAGUUUGUAUGGUGGCCAGUGCAAUUUGCCCGUAUGAACCAUUAGUUAUUAUAUAUGUACUGAUGUCUGGUUUGCCUGCUCUCCUGCAUUCUUCAUUACACUCCAUUGUUUGUAAUAACUUUAUUUCAGACUCGCAACCUAAAAUGCCGCAUUCAGUUUGUCCUAUGUUCUGAAGUUCCAUCUUCUAUUUGUCAUUUUGAUCAAAUAAACAGGGAAGUCGGCAGUGUCAUUUUGAUGUACCCGCUUAGGACCUGUAUUGAGUACAUCUUUCUGUUGGAGUACAACUGGAACUUGAUUUGCCAUUUCGUCUCGUGGGUACCUUUUCUGUCAAUCACUCUGGAGUGGAAGUAUUGCCCUCAACUGAUGCAACGCUUUCUGGACGAGAGAAUGAUUGGAUGUUGCCCUCAACUCAAGUGGCUCUUCUAUCUCUAUACAGGGGAGCAAAUCAUGUGAUGUUUUAUUUUGCUAUUUUGCGACCAAAUUGUAUGGUGCCGCAGACAAAUAAGACCUGUCUACUAGCAACUUGGUAUGAUAAAUUCACAGAAGCAUCUUGUUCAGUUGUUUCCACAGAUAUGUCUAACUGAAGUCUGUUUAAUUUGCACAAGAGAAUGAGCAUCAGUGAGUGACCAUGAGCAAGAGAAUGAGUAGGCUCUGCAAGAGCAGCGGUCGUAGGCAAUCCGAGUGUCUUCUUUGCAAGCGCCAUUUUCUUCCUGGACACAUGAGGAAUUGAUCUUUUUUUUUUGUUGCGAAGUAUGAGGAAUUGAUCUUAAUUUCACAACAACCAUAUAUGCAUGGAAUGGAAUCAGUAAAAUGGGUGCGCAUGGUGGUGCGCGGUGCCUAAUUUGAUUAAUGCAAACUAAUGCAUCUGCUCAGAGGCAUCUCUCUUGGUAAUGCAAACUAAGCAGUUUAUAACUAAACUAGUGCACACGCAAGCUGAGAGGCAUAGGUCGGAUCGUCUCAGGCACAUAGUACCAUAUUCACAAGCGCCAAAGAAACGGGCGGGAGUUUGAAUAUUGCAUGGGUGGAGUAAUUAACUAGAGUUGCUCACACGUACAAAUGGUCUCGAUCAGGGAGCAAGCGAGGAAUCUCUCGAUUAGGCACGACACCACGCUAGUAAAGUGCGUUGUAAUUUAACAGGCCACUGUAGUCGAAGCGGCAUCCAAGGAAACUUUUCUCCCAUCUCAAGAUCGCAUCGACCUUCAAUCUUAUGACAUGACACUUGGUACCGUGUCUACCACCUAGCUUAAAUACACAAAAUGCGUGUUAGUUCGUGUUACACACAUGGCUUAGACUAGCCACAGUGGAAGUAACUUCAACAGUAACAUCAAAUUCAACUCAGCAAAUUUGCUUAUGUGACAAUUAGUUCAAUGAGGAGAGAGGUAGUUGUAGUAACUUAGCUGGUUACUGUAAUAUCACACGUUCCAAUGCAAUAUGAGUCUAUAACCUAAUAAAUGAAUCUUUACAUGUUAUCACACUUAAGUUACUACCCAUUAUGAAGGUAAUAACAUAGUCUAGGGAUACGUGUAUGUUACUCUCCACUGUGGCUAGUAUUAGGUAUAAUUAGUUUAUAAGGCUGCUCCCAAUAUAUGAGUGCUUAGAUGAGGUGCUAAGCAUAUUAAAUAGCUUAGCAACUAUACUCCCCAAUAGGUGCUUAGCUUGUGUUUGCUAAGCUCACUACUAGGAAAGGGCUAUAGAUGAUAUGGCCACUAAUGGCGCACCAGAUAUGUGGUGCGUCACUACUAUAUAGUAAUGGCGCACCAUGAGUUGGUGCGCCAUUAGUGUGGUAGACACUAAUGGCGCACCAGACACACGGUGCACCAUUAGUAACAAUUUUUUUUCCAAAAAUACUAAUGGCGCAUCAGGGAAGAGUGCGUCAUUACUAGUUUAACUAGUAAUGGCGCACCACCAACGCAGUGCACCACUACUUUUUUUUGCAAAACUACGCACCUCAAGCUGGUGCUCCAUUAGUAACAAGGGUUACUAAUGGCGCAUUUGUGAGUGGUGCGCCAUUAGUAACCUGGGAUCAGCUACAUAUUUUGGACAGCCACACCUACACACUCACUUUUCCCACUUCAUUCUCUCCACCUUCUUCUCCAAGCUUGUGUCGGCUGCCUCCUCCUCCUCACCUCAUUUGCACCAUAAAUUCAUCAAAAUUAAGUGGUUAAAUUACCUUUUUUAUAGGUAAGUAAGGGAAAAACUAUCUUUAUGUUGUAGAUCUACUUUUUUUCUCCCUAGCUCGCUCCAACAACGUGCACAUGCACUUUUUAUGGCCUUGCUAGAUCUAUGUAUGUUUGUGGUGUUGCAUAUAUGUUUGUAUUUGCAGGUACCGGUAUUUGAAAUGCGAUAGUUGCCAAUAUUUUGCCGGAAUGUUGAUUCAUUUCCGUUUCGGCGAGAAUUCUGGCACUAUGCAUUCUUUUUGGUCCUAUUUUUAGGGAAAGUCAUGCCAAAUUUUUUCUUGGUUCUAAAAUAUCGUUUUGCUCUACCCCGCAUGCGACCAUGGUCCGCACGAUGACCGAAGGCAUCGUGAAUAGGUUUUUGAGCUCCGCGAAGGCCGAGAUGCUUCAAAAGAACGAGACGGAGAUAAGAUGUCCGUGUCGAAGAUGCAAGCUGAAGAGCCUUAUUGCGGACUCGGAUUCCGGGCAGGUGCGGGACCACCUGCUCUUGCGUGGUUUCAUGGAUGGCGCUAUCGGUGACAAGGUGAUGAAGAUGACUAUGAAGUCGUCCAUGGGGGCCGGGCAAGAAAUAAGGAAGGGCAGCAAGACAAUCACCGCGGCGAGGGCGGGCGAGAAGACGGAGAAUCUCCAGGACAUGAUCACGACGGUGAUACUGUACACAGUCAUCAUGUAGAAGAUGCCGGACAUGAUGAUGAGGAAGAUCAAGACGAAGGGCAUGAUCAUGAAGAUGAAGAUGUCGGAGCAGACGACGAUGGAGGCUGGGUGCAGGACCCUCAUAUUCAAGAGCUACUUCUCAAGCUGACGGAUAACACAAGAGCUGCCGCCCGAGAGAAAGCCAAGCUGGAUCAACUAGAGAUAGACGCGGUUACUCCAUUGUAUGAAGGAUGAAGGCUCGAGGAUACCCGCCUGAAAGUAACACUCAUGGCUCUGGAGAUGAAGGUAAAACACAAAAUGACCGACACAUACUUCGAUGAGAACAUGUCAUUCUGGCACGAACGUCUUCCCAAGGGGAACAAGUGCCCGACCAGUUUCGAGGAGGCGAAGAAAAUUGUGUGUCCUCUGGAUUUACCGCACGUGAAAUACCAUGUGUGCAUGAACAAUUGCAUCAUUUAUCGGGACAAGCACGUGGAGUCUACCAUAUGUCCGGUGUGCGGCGUCACUCGAUACAAGAAGAGGAAGAAAGCUCCUCGAAAAGUGGUGUGGUACUUUCCGAUCACUCCUCGUCUGCAGUGGUAUUUCGUGGACCCUAAGGUAGCAAAGCUCCUGCGUUGGCACGCGGAUAGGGAGGAGAAGAAGCGAGAAGAUGACGGAAAUGAUACGGAGAUAAAUAAAAAAGACAAGAUGCUGAGUCACCCUAAGGAUGCGAGCCAGUGGCAAGCGUUGAACUUCGAAGACCCAGAAUUUGGGAACGAUCUAAGGAACAUCAUGCUGGGCGCGAGCACCGAUGGAGUCAAUCCGUUUGGCAGCCAGAGAAGCACACAUAGCACCUGGCCUGUGUUUGUGUGGAUGUACAAGCUUCCCCCUGGUUGUGCAUGAAGAGGAAAUACAUUCACAUGAGUAUGCUAAUUGAAGGGCCGAAACAACCAGGGAACGACAUCAAUCUGUAUCUGGGGCUGCUGAAAGAGGAGCUAGACAUGUUGUGGAAAAUGCCAGCCAAUACGUGGGACGCCGCAGAGAAAUAAUAUUUCCCUAUGAGAGCCGCACUGCUCACGACGGUGCACGACUAUCUCGGUUACUGAUAUCUCGCGGGGCAGGUGGUCCACGGACUUUCUGGAUGCGUCGGGUGCAUGGAUGACACAACGUAUCGCCAGCUAGAUAGAGAUCCCGGGUCUUCGAAAACUGUGUUCAUGGGACAUAGAAGGUGGCUUCGCGACGAUGACCCGUGGAGAAAACGCAAGGAUCUGUUCGAUGGUGAAACCAAACCCCGAAGAUGCCUGCAUACGAGGAGCGGCGAGGAAAUAGACGAGCUGUUGAAAAAUUGGAAAGAUUGCCCACUGCCGGGAAAGAAGCAAAAGGCGCCAGAGCCGGGAAAGAAGCGAAAGGCGCCAGAGCCCCUGCUGAAGGUAUGGAAAACGAGGUCUGUUUUCUGGGACUUGUCAUACUGGAAGAUCCACCGUGUGCCUCACAGCCUUGAUGUCAUGCAUAUCACGAAGAACGUGUGCGAGAGUCUGCUUGGUACCCUGCUCAACAUGCCAGAGAGGACCAAAGAUGGGCCGAAAGCAAGGGCAGACAUGAAAUCAAUGGGCAUCAGGGAGGAGCUUCACGCUAAUGAUGAUGAUGAUGAGGGAAGCAGGACAAAGAAAGUUGUCGCAAAGGCAAAAAGGCCAAGAAGACCGGAAAUGACUACCCUCCCGUGUGCUUCACUCUAAGUCAGGAGGAGAUCGAGUAGUUUUUCACCUGUCUCAUAGGAGUAAAACUUCCUUACGGUUACGCGGGGAAGAUAAGCAGAUACCUAGACCCAGCGAAGCAGAAGUGAAGGAAAUAUGCCCUAGAGGCAAUAAUAAAGUUAUUAUUUAUUUCCUUAUAUCAUGAUAAAUGUUUAUUAUUCAUGCUAGAUUUGUAUUAUCCGGAAACAUAAUACUUGUGUGAAUACAUAGACAAACCAAACGUCACUAGUAUGCCUCUACUUGACUAGCUCGUUAAUCAAAGAUGGUUAUGUUUCCUAACCAUAGACAUGUGUUGUCAUUUGAUUAAUGGGAUCACAUCAUUAGGAGAAUGAUGUGAUUGACAUGACUCAUUCCAUUAGCUUAGCACCCGAUCGUUUAGUAUGUUGCUAUUGCUUUCUUCAUGACUUAUACAUGUUCCUAUGACUAUGAGAUUAUGCAACUCCCGUUUGUCGGAGGAACACUUUGUGUGCUACCAAACGUCACAAUGUAACUGGGUGAUUAUAAAGGAGCUCUACAGGUGUCUCCAAAGGUACAUGUUGGGUUGGCGUAUUUCGAGAUUAGGAUUUGUCACUCCAAUUGUCGGAGAGGUAUCUCUGGGCCCUCUCGGUAAUGCACAUCACAUAAGCCUUGCAAGCAUUACAACUAAUGAGUUAGUUGCAAGAUGAUGUAUUACAAAACGAGUAAAGAGACUUGCCGGUAACGAGAUUGAACUAGGUAUUGAGAUACCGACGACCGAAUCUCGGGCGAGUAACAUACCGAUGACAAAGGGAACAACGUAUGUUGUUAUGCGGUCUGACUGAUAAAGAUCUUCGUAGAAUAUGUGGGAGCCAAUAUGAGCAUCCAGGUUCCGCUAUUGGUUAUUGACCGGAGACGUGUCUCGGUCAUGUCUACAUUGUUCUCGAACCCGUAGGGUCCGCACGCUUAAGGUUUUGAUGACAGUUAUAUUAUGAGUUUAUGCAUUUUGAUGUACCGAAGUUUGUUCGGAGUCCCGGAUGUGAUCACGGACAUGACGAGGAGUCUCGAAAUGGUCGAGACAUAAAGAUUGAUAUAUUGGAAGCCUAUAUUUGGAUAUCGGAAGUGUUCCGGGUGAAAUCGGGAUUUUACCGGAGUACCGGGAGGUUACCGGAACCCCCCGGGAGGUAUAUGGUCCUUAGUGGGCUUUAGUGGAAGAGAGGAGAGGUGGCCAGGGCUGGGCCACGCGCCCCUCCCCCCUAGUCCGAAUAGGACAAGGAGAGGGGGCGGCGCCCCCCCUUCCUUUUCUCUCUCCUCUUCCCCCCUCCCGAAUCCUAUUCCAACUAGGAAAGGGGGGAAUCCUACUCCCGGUGAGAGUAGGACUCCUCCUGGCGCGCCCUCCUCCUGGCCUGCCGCACCCCCCUUGAUCCUUUAUAUACGGGGGCAGGGGGCACCCCUAGACACACAAGUUGAUCCACGUGAUCAUAUUCUUAGCCGUGUGCGGUGCCCCCAUGCACCAUAAUCCUCGAUAAUAUUGUAGCGGUGCUUAGGCGAAGCCCUGCGACGGUAGUACAUCAAGAACGUCACCACGCCGUCGUGCUGACGGAACUCUUCCCCGACACUUUGCUGGAUCGGAGUCCGGGGAUCGUCAUCGAGCUGAACGUGUGCUAGAACUCAGAGGUGCCGUAGUUUCGGUGCUUGAUCGGUCGGGCCGUGAAGACGUACGACUACAUCAACCGCGUUGUGCUAACGCUUCCGCUGUCGAUCUACAAGGGUACGUAGAUCACACUCUCCCCUCCCGUUGCUAUGCAUCACCAUGAUCUUGCGUGUGCGUAGAAUUUUUUUGAAAUUACUACGUUCUCCAACAGUGGCAUCAGAGCCUAGGUUUUAUGUGUUGAUGUUAUAUGCACGAGUAGAACAUAAGCGAGUUGUGGGCGAUAUAAGUCAUACUGUUUACCAGCAUGUCAUACUUUGGUUCGGCGGUAUUGUUGGACGAAGCGGCCCGGACCGACAUUACGCGUACGCUUACGCGAGACCGGUUCUCCCGACGUGCUUUGCACAAAGGUGGCUAGAGGGUGACAGUUUCUCCAACUUUAGUUGAACCGAGUGUGGCUACGCCCGGUCCUUGCGAAGGUUAAAACAGCACCAACUUGACAAACUAUCGUUGUGGUUUUGAUGCGUAGGUAAGAUUGGUUCUUGCUUAAGCCCGUAGCAGCCACGUAAAACUUGCAACAACAAAGUAGAGGACGUCUAACUUGUUUUUGCAGGGCAUGUUGUGAUGUGAUAUGGUCAAGACAUGAUGCUAAAUUUUAUUGUAUGAGAUGAUCAUGUUUUGUAACCAAGUUAUCGGCAACUGGCAAGAGCCAUAUGGUUGUCGCUUUAUUGUAUGCAAUGCAAUCGCGUUGUAAUGCUUUACUUUAUCACUAAGCGGUAGCGAUAGUCGUGGAAGCAUAAGAUUGGCGAGACGACAACGAUGCUACGAUGGAGAUCAAGGUGUCGCGCCGGUGACAAUGGUGAUCACGACGGUGCUUCGAAGAUGGAGAUCACAAGCACAAGAUGAUGAUGGCCAUAUCAUAUCACUUAUAUUGAUUGCAUGUGAUGUUUAUCUUUUAUGCAUCUUAUGUUGCUUUGAUUGACGGUAGCAUUAUAAGAUGAUCUCUCACUAAUUAUCAAGAAGUGUUCUCCCUGAGUAUGCACCGUUGCGAAAGUUCUUCGUGCUGAGACACCACGUGAUGAUCGGGUGUGAUAGGCUCUACGUUCAAAUACAACGGGUGCAAAACAGUUGCACACGCGGAAUACUCAGGUUAUACUUGACGAGCCAAGCAUAUACAGAUAUGGCCUCGAAACACGGAGACCGAAAGGUUGAGUGUGAAUCAUAUAGUAGAUAUGAUCAACAUAGUGAUGUUCACCAAUGAAACUACUCCAUCUCACGUGAUGAUCGGACAUGGUUUAGUUGAUUUGGAUCACGUGAUCACUUAGAGGAUUAGAGGGAUGUCUAUCUAAGUGGGAGUUCUUAUGUAAUAUGAUUAAUUGAACUUUAAUUUAUCAUGAACUUAGUCCUGGUAGUAUUAGCAUAUCUAUGUUGUAGAUCAAUAGCUCGCGUUGUUGCUUUCAUAUGUUUAUUUUGAUAUGUUCCUAGAGAAAAUUGUGUUGAAAGAUGUUAGUAGCAAUGAUGCGGAUUGGAUCCGUAAUCUGAGGUUUAUCCUCAUUGCUGCACAGAAGAAUUAUAUCCUUGAUGCAUCGCUAGGUGACAGACCUAUUGCAGGAGCAGAUGCAGACGUUAUGAAUGUUUGGCUAGCUCAAUAUGAUGACUACUUGAUAGUUUAGUGCACCAUGCUUAAUGGCUUAGAAUCGGGACUUCAAAGAUGUUUUGAACGUCAUGGACCAUAUGAGAUGUUCCAGGAGUUGAGGUUAAUAUUUCAAGCAAAUACCCGAGUUGAGAGAUAUGAAAUCUCUAACAAGUUCUAUAGCUAAAAGAUGGAGGAGAAUCGCUCAACUAGUGAGCAUGUGCUCAGAUUGUCUGGGUACUACAAUCACUUGAAUCAAGUGGGAGUUAAUCUUCCAGAUAAAAUAGUGAUUGACAGAAUUCUCUAGUCACCAUCACCAAGUUAAUAGAACUUCGUGAUGAACUAUGAUAUGCAAGGGAUAACGGAAACGAUUCCCAAGCUCUUCGUAAUGCUGAAAUCAACGAAGGUAGAAAUCAAGAAAAACAUCAAGUGUUGAUGGUUGAAAAGACCACUAGUUUCAAGAAAAGGGCAAAGGAAGAAAGGGAACUUCAAGAAGAACGGCAAGCAAGUUUUUGCUCAAGUGAAGAAGCCCAAGUCUGGUCCUAAGACUGAGACUAAGUGCUUCUACUGCAAAGGGACUGGUAACUGGAAACGGAAUUACCCCAAAUGAUUGGCGGAUAAGAAGGAUGGCAAAGUGAACAUAAGUAUAUUUGAUAUACAUGUUAUUGAUGUGUACUUUACUAGUGUUUAUAGCAACCCCUCAGUAUUUCAUACUAGUUCAGUUGCUAAGAUUAGUAACUCGAAACGGGAGUUGCAGAAUAAACAGAGACUAGUUAAGGGUGAAGUGACGAUGUGUGUUGGAAGUGGGUCCAAGAUUGAUAUGAUCAUCAUCGCACACUCCCUAUACUUUCGGGAUUAGUGUUGAACCUAAAUAAGUGUUAUUUGGUGUUUGCGUUGAGCAUGAAUAUGAUUUGAUCAUGUUUAUUGUAAUACGGUUAUUCAUUUAAGUAAGAGAAUAAAUUGUUGUUCUGUUUACAUGAAUAAAACCUUACAUGGUUACACACCCAAUGAAAAUAGUUCGUUGGAUCUCGAUCAUAGUGAUACACAUAUUCAUAAUAUUGAAACCAAAAGAUCCAAAGUUAAUAAUGAUAGUGCAACUUGUUUGUGGCACUACCGUUUAGGUCAUAUUGGUGUAAAGCGCAUGAAGAAACUCCAUGAUGAUGGGCUUUUGGAAUCACUUGAUUAUGAAUCAGUUGAUGCCUGCGAACCAUGCCUCAUGGGCAAGAUGACUAAGACUCCGUUCUCCGGAACAAUGGAGCGAGCAACAUAUUUGUUGGAAAUCAUACAUACUGAUGUAUGUGGUCCGAUGAAUAUUGAGGCUCGCGACAGGUAUCAUUAUUUUCUGUUCUUCACAGAUAAUUUGAGCAGGUAUGAGUAUAUCUACUUGAUGAAACAUAAGUCUGAAACAUUUGAAAAGUUCAAAGAAUUUCAGAGUGAAGUGGAAAAUCAUCGUAACAAGAAAAUAAAGUUUCUACGAUCUGAUCGUGGAGAAGAGUAUUUGAGUUACGAGUUUGGUCUUCAGUUAAAACAAUGUGCAAUAGUUUCACUACUCAUGCCACCUGGAACACCACAGUGUAAUAGUGUGUCCGAACGUCGUAACCGUACUUUACUUGAUAUGGUGCGAUCUAUGAUGUCUCUUACAGAUUUACCACUAUCGUUUUGGGCUUAUGCAUUAGAGACAGCUGCAUUCACGUUAAAUAGGGCACCAUCUAAAUCCGUUGAGACGACACCGUAUGAACUAUGGUUUGGCAAGAAACCUAAGCUGUCGUUUCUUAAAGUUUGAGGUUGCAAUGCUUAUGUGAAAACGUUUCAACCUGAUAAGCUCAAACCUAAAUCGGAGAAGUGCGUCUUCAUAGGAUAUCCAAAGGAAACUAUUGGAUACACCUUCUAUCACAGAUCCGAAGGCAAGACUUUUGUUGCUAAAUUCAGAAACUUUCUAGAGAAGGAGUUUUCUCUCGAAAGAAGUGAGUGGGAGGAAAGUAGAACUUGAUGAGGUAACUGUACCUGCUCCCUUAUAGGAAAGUAGUUCAUCACAAAAAUCUAUUCCUGUGAUUACUACACCAAUUAGUGAGGAAGCUAAUGAUGAUGAUCAUGUAACUUCAGAUCAAGUUACUACCGAACCUCGUAGGUAAACCAAAGUGAGAUCCGCACCAAAGUGGUACGGUAAUCCUGUUCUGGAAGUCAUGUUACUUGACCAUGACGAGCCUACGAACUAUGAGGAAGCGAUGAUGAGCCCAGAUUCCGUGAAAUGGCUUGAGGCCAUGAAAUCUGAGAUGAGAUCCAUGUAUGAGAACAAAGUAUGGACUUUGGUUGACUUGCCCAAUGUUCGACAAGUCAUUGAGAUUAAAUGGAUCUUCAAGAGGAAGACGAACGCUGAUAGUAGUGUUACUAUCUACAAAGCUAGAAUUGUCACAAAAGGUUUUUCGACAAAGUUCAAGGUGUUGACUAUGAUAAGAGUUUCUCAAUCGUAUCUAUGCUUAAGUCUGUCCAAAUCAUGUUAGCAAUUGCCGCAUUUUAUGAAAUCUGGCAAAUGGAUAAACAAAGCUGCAUUCCUUAAUGGAUUUAUUAAAGAAGAGUUUUAUAUGAUGCAACCAGAAGGUUUUGUCAAUCCUGAAGGUGCUAACAAAACAUGCAAGCUCCAGCGAUCCAUCUAUGGACUGGUGCAAGCAUCUCGGAGUUGGAAUAUACGCUUUGAUAAGUUGAUCAAAGCAUAUAGUUUUAUACAGACUUGCGGUGAAGCCUGUAUUUACAAGAAAGUGAGUGGGAGCACUACAGCAUUUCUGAUAAGUGUAUGUGUAUGACAUAUUGUUGAUCGGAAAUAAUGUAGAAUUAUUCUGCAAGGCAUAAAGGAGUGUUUGAAAGGAUUUUUUCAAAGAAAACCUCGGUGAAGCUGCUUACAUAUUGAGCAUCAAGACCUAUAGAGAUAGAUCAAGACGCUUGAUAAGUUUUUUUUUCAAUGAGUACAUACCUUGACAAGAUUUUGAAGUAGUUCAAAAUGGAACAGUCAAAGAAAGAAUUCUUGCCUGUGUUACAAGGUGUGAAAUUGAGUAAGACUCAAAGCCCGACCACGACAGAAAAUAGAAUGAGAAUGAAAGUCAUUCCCUAUGCCUUGGCCAUAGGUUCUAUAAAGUAUGCCAUGCUAUGUACCAGACCUAUUGUAUACCCUACACUAAUUUUGUCAAGGGAGUACAAUAGUGAUCUAGAAGUAGAUCACUGGACAACGGUCAAAAUUAUCCUUAGUGGAAUAAGGAUAUGUUUCUCGAUUAUGGAGGUGACAAAAGGUUCGUCGUAAAAGGGUUACGUCGAUACAAGUUUUGGCACUAAUCCGGAUGACUCUUAGUCUUCAUCUGGAUACAUAUUGAAAGUGGGAGCAAUUAGCUAAAAUAGCUCCGUGCAGAGCAUUAUAGACAUAGAAAUUUGCAAAAUACAUACGGAUCUAAAUUUUGGCAGACUCAUUGACUAAGCUUCUCUCACAAGCAAAACAUGAUCACACCAUAGUACUCUUUGGGUAUUGAUCACAGUUAUAUUAUGAGUUUAUGCAUUUGGAUGUACCGAAGUUUGUUCGGAGUCCCGGAUGUGAUCACGGACAUGACGAGGAGUCUCGAAAUGGUCGAGACAUAAAGAUUGAUCUAUUGGAAGCCUAUAUUCGGAUAUCGGAAGUGUUCCGGGUGAAAUCAGGAUUUUACCGGAGUACCGGGAGGUUACCGGAACCCCCCGGGAGGUAUAUGGGCCUUAGUGGGCUUUAGUGGAAGAGAGGAGAGGUGGCCAGGGCUGGGCCGCGCGCCCCUCCCUCCUAGUCCGAAUAGGACAAGGAGAGGGGGGCGGCGCCCCCCCUUCCUUCUCUCUCUCUUCUCUUUCCCCCUCCCGAAUCCUAUUCCAACUAGGAAAGGGGGGGGGGAAUCCUACUCCCGGUGGGAGUAGGACUCCUCCUGGCGCGCCCUCCUCCUGGCCGGGCGCACCCCCCCCCUUGAUCCUUUAUAUACAGGGGCAGGGGGCACCCCUACACACACAAGUUGAUCCACGUGAUCAUAUUCUUAGCCGUGUGCGGUGCCCCCUUCCACCAUAAUCCUCGAUAAUAUUGUAGCGGUGCUUAGGCGAAGCCCUGCGACGGUAGUACAUCAAAAACGUCACCAUGCCGUCGUGCUGACGGAACUCUUCCCCGACACUUUGCUGGAUCGGAGUCCGGGGAUCGUCAUCGAGUUGAACGUGUGCUAGAACUCGGAGGUGUCGUAGUUUCAGUGCUUGAUCGAUCGGGCCGUGAAGACGUACGACUACAUCAACCGCGUUGUGCUAACGCUUCCGCCGUCGAUCUACAAGGGUACGUAGAUCACACUCUCCCCUCCCCUUGCUAUGCAUCACCAUGAUCUUGCGUGUGCAUAGAUUUUUUUUGAAAUUACUACGUUCCCCAACAAGAAGUUCAGUGGGAUGAAGUCUCACGACUGUCACGUGCUGAUGACGCAGAUACUUCUAGUUGCAAUCCAUGGGAUCAUGGACGCGCACAUCCGUGAAACGCUAAUUGAAUACCUUAAUGACAAGAGGUACGUAAAUAUGCUUUUUCUUCUAUUACACACCAAUUUUCAUUUCGUCUAGUAAAAUAGUUACAUCGUUUUAUACUAGUGCAUAUGCAUCUUGAUAGUAUAUUGCUUUUUGCGGGGUCUUGAUAGUAUAUUGUUAAUUUAUACUUUUCAUUUAAAUUCCUAUAGUUAUUAUAUAAAUCAUAUCAUGUAAUAAUUAGGGAGUGCAUAUUUUUAGGGUAAUUGAAAAAUUCUUAUUCUAAAUCGACGAUCUCAAUUAUGUGUGUGUGUGUGUGUUGGGGGAGGGGGUUAUACAAGUAUCUGAUUAUACAAUUUAGUCAAAGUUAGCUUAGAAGUAAUUUAUCGAAACUAAUAUAAUAAUAUAUUAUUUUAUUAUCUUCAUUUAUUGAUUUGUUAACUAAUUAUUAAAUGCAUUCAUAAAGGUACCGCAUCGUAGUCGAUGAUAUAUGGAAUGAAAAACCAUGGGAUUUAAUUAAGUGUGCUUUCUCCAAGAAGAGCCCCGGAAGCCGACUAAUCACGACAACCCGCAAUGUUAGUGUCUCUGAAGCAUGUUGCUCUUUUGAGGGUGAUAUUUAUAGAAUGGAAUCCCUUUCUGAUGAUGUAUCAAGAAGACUCUUCUAUAAAAGAGUAUUUUCACAAGAAGAAGGCUGCCCCAAGAAUUAUUGCAAGUAUCCGAAGAAAUUUUGAAGAAAUGUGGUGGUACACCAUUAGCUAUUAUUACUAUAGCAAGUCUUCUAGCUAAUAAGGGUCAGAUAAAGGCUGAAUGGUAUGCUUUGCUCAGUUCCAUUGGUCAUGGACCCUAAGAAUUGUUGUUGUUGUUGUUGCUGUUGUUGUUGCUGUUGCUGUUGUUGUUGCCAUUGUUGUUGCUAUUGUUGUCGUUGUUGAUGUUGUUGUUGCUGUUGUUGUUGUCGUCGUUGUUGUUGUCGUUGCUGUUGUUGUNNNNNNNNNNNNNNNNNNNNNNNNNNNNNNNNNNNNNNNNNNNNNNNNNNNNNNNNNNNNNNNNNNNNNNNNNNNNNNNNNNNNNNNNNNNNNNNNNNNNNNNNNNNNNNNNNNNNNNNNNNNNNNNNNNNNNNNNNNNNNNNNNNNNNNNNNNNNNNNNNNNNNNNNNNNNNNNNNNNNNNNNNNNNNNNNNNNNNNNNNNNNNNNNNNNNNNNNNNNNNNNNNNNNNNNNNNNNNNNNNNNNNNNNNNNNNNNNNNNNNNNNNNNNNNNNNNNNNNNNNNNNNNNNNNNNNNNNNNNNNNNNNNNNNNNNNNNNNNNNNNNNNNNNNNNNNNNNNNNNNNNNNNNNNNNNNNNNNNNNNNNNNNNNNNNNNNNNNNNNNNNNNNNNNNNNNNNNNNNNNNNNNNNNNNNNNNNNNNNNNNNNNNNNNNNNNNNNNNNNNNNNNNNNNNNNNNNNNNNNNNNNNNNNNNNNNNNNNNNNNNNNNNNNNNNNNNNNNNNNNNNNNNNNNNNNNNNNNNNNNNNNNNNNNNNNNNNNNNNNNNGUUGUUGUUGUUGUUGUUGUUGUUGUUGUUGUUGUUGUUGUUGUUGUUGUUGUUGUUGUUGUUGUUGUUGUUGUUGUUGUUGUUGUUGUUGUUGUUGUUGUUGUUGUUGUUGUUGUUGUUGUUGUUGUUGUUGUUGUUGUUGUUGUUGUUGUUGUUGUUGUUGUUGUUGUUGUUGUUGUUGUUGUUGUUGUUGUUGUUGUUGUUGUUGUUGUUGUUGUCGUUGUUGUUGUCGUCGUUGUNNNNNNNNNNNNNNNNNNNNNNNNNNNNNNNNNNNNNNNNNNNNNNNNNNNNNNNNNNNNNNNNNNNNNNNNNNNNNNNNNNNNNNNNNNNNNNNNNNNNNNNNNNNNNNNNNNNNNNNNNNNNNNNNNNNNNNNNNNNNNNNNNCUGCUGCUGUUGCUGUUGCUGUUGCUGUUGUUGUUGUUGUUGGUGGUGGUGGUGGUAGUGGUGAUACUUCAGCCCUUCAGAUAUCUUUUUAUGGACUCUUUUCAUGUCAAGUUCGAUCUACCCCGACCUCUCAUGACAUUAUCAUCACGCUUUAGUCAUCCACUAUGCACGAAGCUUCUGGAGGCAUGCACUGAAUAUGCCCAAACCAUCUCAGAAGUUGGACAUGUUUCUUUUCAAUAAGUGCUAUCCGAAAUCUACCUCGUAUAUCAUCAUUCCGGACCUGGUCCUUUCUUGUGCGGCCACACAUCCAUCUCAACACGCAAGGAAAAAGAGAUUGAUUUGUGUAUUUCUUAUUUAGCUUAUAUUUUUUCCACGGUAAGAUGAAUAUCUCUCUUUCCUGGUUAAUCAAGCUUCUAGAGAUGUAUGUUAACCUUGGUGGCAUUCUUUUUGGUAGAACUGAAAUGAGCACCAGGCGUGUUGUAAGACAUCUCAGUUACACGAUCGUUUAACAAACAUCUUUAUUCAACAUUACAUGGUUCAUGCCGGAGAACCAUCACUUAGAUGGUAUUUCUAUACAACAACACUUUGGAAUUUCCACAUUAUGGGUCUUGCAAUAGUGUCUGAAGUUAUGUGAGCCUCUGCGUCUACAUAGAUCUUCACACCUCUCGCUAUUGCAGGGAUUGAGAGUCUCACAGAUCACAUGAUAAACAGAUUCUGUAAAAGCAACAUAUAUACACAAAUCAAACAAGAUAUAUUAGUGAUGCAUUGGUUAAUUGGAACACUAGGAAAGUGCACAAAAAAUGGGGGUAUAUACUGGCUUACGAGUGUCUGCAUGGCAGGAUGGGAAGGUAGAACACAUCAUGGAAAACACCAUGAAAGCAAUAGCCAUGUAUAGCAUGGCCGUCGACCAUCUUGCACUGUUAUUAGCAAGUGCCAUCAGAACGAAGAUAUUGCUUUUUUCUACUUCUCCUUUUCUUAUGUUCCUAUGUGAUCACUGCUAUAUACAAACUCCUAGGUGAGCUACUAUUUAUAGAGAGCUAGAAUAGCAUCUUAGAUAAUGAUCUUGCAUUCAUGUAUUUCUCCUAUCAUUAUUGUUGCCAAAUCUUGUUGUCUACAGAUGAAUUGGGUACACUCUUUUAUAUCAUUAUAUCAAGUAAUGGCAUUCAUUUCAUAUUUGUUGGUAUGGUAAUGCUAUUUGUUGUGUUAGUCACAAUCCAACGAUCCUACAAUUAUAUGUAAAUCUAUGCUUGCAAAUGGCAAGUAAGUCUAUCAUUUCCUCGUAUUUAUGGAGAAAUGCAAUGACACCUUAGCUAUUGAUCUUGCACUUAUGUAUCUCUCCCGAAUUAAUGUUGGCAUAUCUUGCUAGUUUUAAAUAGUUAUAGCAUGCUUGCUUAUAUACUGUAAGCAAAGAGACAUAACUCUAGAUACAAACUAAAUGAAUAUAGUGCUCAUAUAAAUUAAUGAAAUAGCCUGUGUGACAUUAAUUUAUUUGAACACAACAAGAUGUAAAAUAAUAAAGUAUUAUUGUGCUAUCUUAAAGUGCGCAAGAAUAUCAAUGUGAUAUUCCAUAAAUACGUAUAACUAUGUGCAACUAUGUGCUUCUCAAUACUCGCAAAAACAUGAUAUACAAGCUACAAUAAUAUGAAACAAUUACAAUAUAUAAAAGGGAUAUAAAUGUGAACAUUAAUUUAGGAGACAUAUAAAUGCAAGAUAAAUAUCAAUGAUAUGCUUGCCUCUUGUACAAAUGCAAAAUUAUGAAGAUGACAUCGUUCCUUUGUAUUUAUGCCUAAUAAUAAAGUCAUUAGUGCUUCUGGCUGUACGUUACAUAAAUUGCCCCCAAUACUGUAAAAUAUUACCCACCGAUGCCAUCUAUAAGUGAAAAAAGUGUUUCACACAUGGGAAUCCCCCGCCUGGGCCGGCUCAUGGAGUAGGGACCUUCUAUACUGUGCUCAGCGCGCUGGGACAAGAUGCAGUGCACCAGUUUGGGCCGGUCCAUGUGCUGGUGGCCUGUUUUAAAUUUCGUUUUUAUCUUUCUUUUCUAUUUUCGUUUUUUCUAUUUUAAAAAAUUUAGCCUUAAAAAUAUGUCCUAAAAUUAAAAAAAAUAAAUAAAAUUUUCAAUUAAUCAAAAAAUGUUUGUGGAUUCAAAAAAUGUUCACAUAUUCUAAAAAGGUUCACAAUAUUGAAAUAAACAUUUGGGAAAUCAAAAAAUGUUCAUUAUUUUUAGAAAAUGUUUGAGUAUUAAAAAAUGUUAAUGAAAUUGAACAAAAUGUUAUCGGUAAUGCAGGAAAAUGCUGUCAUGGCCUUUGGAAAUUAUGAUUUUUUUUUCUCUCAUUGCAAUGCACGGGCCCUUUUGUUAGUGUUAGCCAAAGCAAGAUCAGGACUCAGGAGAAAACAAGUGAAGCUCUUUAUAUGUUUCGGCCCGUCAGAGCUUGACUGACCGUGGGAUGUCAUUUCUUUAAGUAUAUACCUUUCAAGCACAUGGGUGCAACUUUGCAGAGACCCUAAUUAAUCACCAUUACACGAAAAUCAAUUGUUCUAGUUAUUUGAUAGCGUGUGUCUAGGGCUCUAAGUAUGACAUCAGCCCACCUGCUGAGAAUACAAACCCCGCCCAGGCCCGCUGAUUGUUGGUCGCUUUUUGUUCCAUUACAUAUUCUCUAUUGGUGUGCACCCCAGCCCAACCCCGUCAACUCCCGUCACUUCUAUUGGUCUUUAUUAUGUUGUUGUUGCACUGGGCCUUGUUCUUACAAGAAAUUUUGCCAAGAUCGUGAAUAAAGAGAUUGAAAAGUAGCUUGAAGCAUCUAUAGAUGGGAUGCGAGAAUACUUGCACCGGGCACGCAUCCUUGAGACGUCCUCCUCAGUGCUCUCACGCGCAUGCCAUACUAGGCCAGUCCAUUAGGCAUCUCGACCGGAUUGCUCGACUGGUCUCCUUGCUUGCUCGCUAGCCCGGUUGACCGUCGACAAAUUGACCGGCAAGAUGACCGUUGACCAUUGAUUUUUUUAAGUCACAGACUUGCAAAAGUACAGAAAAUUGUAAAAAAAUUCAUGAAUUGGUUUUUUAAUAUUUUUUCAUGAUUUAUAAAAUAGUGCAUACGUAUUUGAAAAUUUACCGGAUUCUGAACUUGAAAAAAUCAUGAAUUUGGACAAAAUUCUAGAAAAAAGAUCAUCGACUUGAAAGAAGUUCAGGCUUUUGAGGUUUUAAUUUUUACUCCCUAAACUAAUAUAAGAGCGUUUAGAUUGUUAAUCUAAACACUUAUAUUAGUUUAAAUCAAGCUGCAAUUUUGCAGGCAGUUGCUCGAGCAGGAAUUUCUUCUUGCCUGGUCAUAAUGUGAACGCUCUUGACAUGCUUAAAAUCCAACGCAGCGGUCCAACAGUGGCCAAUCUGGCUUGUACCAAGGUGGCACGUACCGUAGUACUCCCACUGUAAAGUGAUCUAAAAGAUCUUAUAUUACUUUACAUAGGGAGUACUAUUAAAGAAAUAGUGUUUUUUACUUUGACAAUCCAUAUUUGUACAUGUCUUAUUUAAAUCCUGGAAUGCCAACAGAACUGCAAUGUGAUUUUGGCCUUGGUUACUUAUGUGCAUGAGCACAUAGGAUCAAUAGUUACUUUUGCUUCCCACGUACGUACAAGGUCUUUGUAUUUUUCGAAAAGAUAAGGUCUCAUAUAAUUUGGUACAGAUUAGCAAGCAACCCACUACUACAGUAACAUGUGUACCUUCUCUGAAGUUGGAUUAACUCUGUUUUCUUAUUCUGUCAUUUAACUGAGCCAUUUACAUGUGGGCAUUGCUGGUAGCACGAGUUACAAAUUUCGUCGACAUGGACUCCAUCAUGUGUGCCUUUCAACUCCGGUGCAACUUCCUUCCCAACCAAUACAGUCGAGCACACUGUGUUUGCCUUGCCGCUUGAUCCGUCUUUGUUCUGCAAUGAGCUGAAGCUCCUGUCUGCCACACAUGUCUGAAUUCUCGACUUGCUCCGCCAAUUCAAGAACCAUUAGGUUCGUAUGGCGGCCCUGCAUUUUUUAGUUAUGAACCGUUAGUUAUUAUAGCAUCUAUAGCCAGACUUGGCAAAUCCAACCCCUCAAACGUCCGCGGACGCGUCCGAACAUGUCCGCGGACAAUAACCAGUCACGCCUCAAAUAAUGCAUUUCACAUCUGGAUACUUCAAAUUAAAAACCUUAAAUUCAUAUUAUUGUAUGGAACGCAACGAUCUUUGAGCGGAGCUUCGUCCGGUUCCGCUCCCCGCUCGCCCGGCUCCGCCCUGGUGGCCGGCUGCGUCCCUCGGAGUGUUGGUCUGGUCGUCGGCAAGGUAAAAUAGGGCAUGGGACACGAGCCGACUCAUGGGACUCAAGACACCGCUGUCUCCCAUGCCCUUCGACAAGGCAAUGACGCCAAAAGACGCCGCCAUCGUCCACCAUGACUGUAGUCGAGGCUCGGUUUUCACCGGAAGUCUUGCCGCUCCAAACUCGCCACCGGACAGAUCUGACGCCAGAUCCACCGCCGCCUCCUGGCCAGCCACCACCAACAGGCCAGCACACAGCAGAGCGGCCGCCACCGCGACAUCGGGCAAAGCCCCAACCUGGAUGCCCGACCCAGAUCAGGAGCCCCAGAUCCAAGCCGCCAAGUAGGUCGUAGGCCACACCGUCGCCACACACGGUGCGCCCGCAACGCUAGGCCAACCGGAUCGCCGUGCUUUGCCCGUCCCGCGGCGGUGGCCGCCGCCGUCCGCAACUCCUCUGCCGCGCGCGGAGCUCUCACACGCCAGCGCCACCACAAGGGAAUCGUUGCCCCGCCGCCACCUUCCUCAGGGCCGCCUGGCCGUUGCCAGGGAGACCCCUCUGGCGGCGGUGAGACUAGGAGGGGAGGGGGAGGAGUCGCGGCGGCUAGGGUUUUUUCUCCCCAGAGCCGCCAGGAAGACGACGCGGGGGGCAGCUUAUUUGUGUUCUGCAUGUCCUAAUGGCCUUAUCUGGCCAUGUACUUCAUGUUCCAAGAAAAUUGCAAUGUGAAUUUGGCCUAGGUUACUUAUGAAUGGUGCAUAGGUGGUACAGAGUAGCAAAGUAAUUCACUUACUGUAGCAUAUAAUGUUCCAUUUUUCUAUACUUGAAUGAAGUCUGUUUUGUUUCUGGAACAGUUAACUGAGAUUAUUCACAUGAAGUCCUUCCAUAUGGCUUUGCAGGUAGCAGGAGAGCUAAUAAAUUUCGUCGACAUGGAUGGACUCCGUGCUAGAGCCUCCUACCUCCGUCCAGUUUCCGAUCCAACCAACAAAGUCAAGAGCACAGUGUCUGCGUUCGCCUUGCCGUCUGAUCCGUCUUCCUUCAGCAACGAGAUGAAGAUCUCAAUCUGUCCACUCAUGUCUGAAUCUUCCUCUUGCUUCCGUCCAACGAUUCAAGAACCAUUUAAGUUUGUUUCUUCGAGCCGAUCAUCUAUGUACUGCUGGUGCCAUCUAAUCAAGUUGAAGGUGCUCGAGAUUGGAUGGUACUGUAGUCGUCUUGAUGAAAGCAUGGGAAAAACUUUGGCGAAAUCCCUAAGUAAUCUGCAUAGGUUGGAAAGUCUACGUAUUAAUGCACAUGGACGCAUCCAUUUCUUGCAGGAAGGCUGGAUACCCCCUCCACAGCUCCGUAAAUUAGUGUCUUACAUAUAUGGCAGUGUCGCGUUCGACACACUGCCUUCAUUUAUUAGCCCGACAUUGCUUCCUCUCCUCUCCUACCUGGUGAUAACGGUGUAUGAACUGCAACCAGAGGACAUUCAGCUUCUUGGGAUGCUGCCCACUCUUCGUUAUCUCUAUUUCAGAGGGGUCAUCACCAAGAGCAUAUCAAUGGAGGAUGCCACAAUAAUUUCCGGCCCUAAUUUUUCCAGUUCCUGCUUCAGUUCCGCAGCGAAGUUGUUCCUUACAUCUGAUGCCUUCCCAUGUGCGACCAAGUUAUCCUUCGAUGGUAUUCCUGUGAUGCCGUCAGCAUUCCCUCGAGGAGCCGCCCCAAGGCUUAAACACCUUGAGUUUUCCUUCCGAGCUAAGUGGAUCACCCAUGACGACGUGGAUUUGGGCAUGGGGCACCUCCCUUCCCUCCAGACCGUCAGGGUCCAGCUUCACACUUUUAAAUCCAGCAUUUUGGAGGUGAAGAAAACACAGGCUGCGCUGAAGGCUGCAGCGAGGGACCAUCCCAACCGCCCGGACAUUAGUAUCCGAAAUGGUACUACACAACUGCACCUCGAGGCAUCAUGCAUGCGCUUCUUCCCAUCCCUGUGCUGUGAUCCACGACAUGGCAAAUUAAAAUGCUCAUUCCUCUCUCUAUUUCUCAUUCUGCGCGCAUUCUUGUGUUUGCCGCCGAUUGUUCAGAUUUUUUUUUUCAUCCAGGAAUUGUUUUGUUUCAAAUCAAGGGCUCGAGUCAUCAAAAUCCUGCACACAGGUACCAUUCUACAACAUCUUCUUUACCAUGUUUUAUUCUGCUAGCAAGUUCAAUUGGCCCUUCGAUCCUAAAGCCCAAGGGCCUACCUGGCCAUCUAUUUCAAAUUCCAACAAGCAAUGUGAAUUUCACCUUUUUUGGUUACUUAUGUGCAUAGGUGUUACAGAUUAACAAAGCUAUGCACUACUCCCUCCGUUCCUAAAUACUUGUCUUUCUAGGCAUUUCAACAAGUGACUACAUACGAAGCAAAAUGAGUGAAUCUACACUCUAAAAUAUGUCUACAUACAUCCGUAUGUAGUAGUCAUUUGAAAUGUCUAGAAAGACAAAUAUUUAGGAACGGAGGGAGUAGUACUGUAGCCAUAAUGUUCCAUUUUUCUGUACUUGAAUGAACUCUGUUUUGUUUCUAGAACAUUCAACUAAGAUAUUCACAUGCAAUCCUUCCAUAUGGCGUUGCAGUUAGGUAGCAGAAGAGCCAAUAUAUUUCGUCGACAUGGUUGCACUCCGAGCGAGAGCCUCAUACUUCCGUUCCGUCCAGUUUCCGAUCCAACCAAGAAAGUCAAGAGCACAGCGUCUGCGUUUGCCUUGCCGUCUGAUCCGUCUUCCUUCAGCAAGGAGAUGAAGCUCUCAAUCUGUCCACUCACGUCUGAAUCUUCUUCCUUAUUCCGUCCAACUAUUCAAGAACCAUUUAAGUUUCUACCUUCCUUCGAAUAGAUCAGGAUUUUAAUUAUGUACUGCCGGCUUGUUUAUCUACUAGAAUCACUCGCUGCUUUGCUUUGUUCCUAGCAGCUAGCUGCACACUCAUUUUUACUCGAGAGUUGUCAACAUUCAGUUCGUGAAAUCGUCUGAAAUUUCUGUAUGUCUGUAUCUCUUUGCUCCUUGUUUUCUCUGUUUUGUGAUGCUAGUUGUUUCAAUGUACCAGCCAGCUUACAAUAUGUAUCAUCGUCUUUUUCUUUGAGUGGAAGUUGGACUUACUAUUGCAUCUGAACAUUUUUCAGACUAUAUAGGGGUUGGAGGAAUGUACACAGUACUUCUUAUAAAGUUUUCUAUCCUGGAGUUGUUGCGAACAACGUCCACCUUGGGUCGUACACGUACUGCCCCAAUGUUACCUGAACUUGUGAACGACCGGGAAGCAGAGGGGGAAGGAGUGAACGACGGCGACCUCGGCAUUUUACACCGGGUCGAGGGAAGGCAGGUGGGCAGCUGUGAGGAAUGCCUGCGAUUGGCUGGACGCCCCUGUAGAACAGGGGGAGGAAGAUGUUCAAGUCUACUUGGUUAGUGCUGCAACUAAAAAAAAA
rnacentral:lncRNA from 1 species